CUUUCUUGUAGCUACUUUAGUUGAGGUACUUAUUUUGCAAUAUUUAUGUUUGCCUAAAAUAUCUUUACUUACACUAAAUUAAUGAAGGUAUUUAUUUCUCUUGAAAGGGAAAAUUGUGCAGCUGAGUCUGGAACGCCGCACCAUCACCAUGGUAACGCUGCCUGGUCGCAGCUCGUGGAGACGCCAUACUGUCCGGAGCAGCGAGAGAGAGCGGGCAAACAGAGAGGAUGAUGCCGGGGCCUGACUCUUCCUGUCCCGCCACUCAUUCAGCCUUUACCCGGCGCUGUUAAGCUGGUCCGGGAUAUGGCUGCAGCUGCCGCACACCUCGACACCGACUGGCCGCAUGUGGGUGAUUUAAACACGGACUCAAAGCAGGAGCUGCUGCCACUGAAAGGCCGAGCAGCGGCCACCGCAGGCCGCACCGCCUCGGGGGAAGCGACGCAGCAGCUCCCGCUGCUGCUACUGCUGCAGGGACAUGAUGGUGAUGAUGGUGAUGUCCUCGAGCUGCACGAGAACAAAAGCAGCUUUCCCCCCGGGGAAAGUGGUGCUUUUAGGUCCAAGGAGGAGCUGGGGAACGUGUUUGACGCCAGAUUAUCCGAGUGCUUCCGAAAUGUUCACGCCGGGACAGAGAGCAUCGCUGCCGUGAGUGAGAUCACCGAGGACACGCUGCUGGAGAAAGACGAAAUUUGGAAAGUUUUAACCACUAACUAUGGACAAGUGAUGCCGGUUGACUGGAAGUGCUCUCAAAUGCACUCGCUCCACGUCCCCUUAUUUAACCUGGAGGAGAAACCUAGGAAGACUGAUGUCACGGGGGAGCUGUCGGAUGAUGAGGAGCUGAGGGAGCAGCUGGACAUGCACUCCAUCAUCGUCUCUUGCCUGGCAGACGAGCCCCUCUUCACUGUAGAGCAGGUGAUUGAGGAGAUAGAGGAGAUGAUGCAGGACUCGCCUGACGUGGAAGCAAAGAACAAUCUGCCUCAGUCAGACUUCUCGAUGCUCUCUUUGGACACGCAGCGCUCCAACAGCAGCCCCGGCUUCAAGGACAGGGUCAGGACUCUGAGUGUUGCGGAGCUGAAUGAAUGUAUGGAGGAGACGGAGACGAACAUCAGGAGGUUUUCAGAGGAGCUGGUGCAGCAGCUGGCUCGGAGGGAUGAACUGGAAUUUGAGAAAGAGGUCAAGAACAGUUUCAUCUCAGUGCUCAUCGAUGUUCAGAACCGGCAGAAGGAGCACCGCGAGCUGCUGAAGAAGAAGAAGAAGUUCAAAGCGCCUCAGCAUGGAGGGACUCUCCUCUGUCUUUCAAAACAGCUUCCGGCAAACUUUUGGGAGUGGGAGCAGUGAAAGACAGGUUACUUCAAGUUUCUUUGCUCUCUCUCUCUCUGCUGCUGAGCUUUAGCAGUUCUGCUGUCUGUGAUGAAAAUGUACACUUUGAUUAGAGUGUCAACUCACAGAAGUAUUCAUUAUCUUCCUUUUCAAACUAUGGUGGUCUUCACAUCUCAGAGAGAUUCCUCUGUAAAGCAUGAAUUACCAAUUCUAAGGUUAUUUAAAAGUAAAUGGUAAAUGCUCUGUAUUUGUAGUGCCCUUUCCCAAGGACACAUCUGCAUGUAGACAACCAGUCUUAUAUAAAGUAACUUAAAGGUAUACUUGAUUAAAAGUAUCUUACCAGAAAACUACUUUGAGAGAAGAUGAAGCCACCUUUUUAUAAUAUUACUUAAGUAAAAGUAUUAAUGAAUUUGACAUUUACUGUGCAAGUAUCAAAAGUAAUUUUCUGAUAUAAAAUGUACUCGUUAUAGAAGUAAGUAUUAAGAGUGAGGAGUAAUGUUUUAGCCAUGGUGGCUCAGUGAUAGGGUGAUUAGUCUUUCAACUGGAAGGUUGUGAGUUCAAUUCCUGGCUCUGCAAGUCUAUGUGUCCUUGAACAAAACACUUAACCCCAUGUUGAAGUGUGUGAAUGGGUGAAUAGCAAAACUGCAGUGUAAAGCAGCUCAUCAAGACUAGAAAAGCUCUAUAUGAACGCAGACCAUUGCCAACUCUUCUUCUGAUUUUAUUUGGUAGUGACGAGUAACAAAGAUAGUUAGAGGAAAGGUAGUGGAGUAAAAGUAAAAGUUGCUGGAAAAACAAAUAAAGUAAAUUAAAGAUACUUGUAUUUUGUACUUAAGUACUCGCUCUGAGCUACCGUCACGCCUAAAAGCCAAACAAUUUCAUUUGAAAUCAGACUUUCAAAUGAUUAUGUUUAGUUUUUUCAAUUUACACCACCCUCCUAAAUGCUUCAUACUGGUCAUUAAAGCAAAUCUGCAACUCAAGUAAAUGCCACAUAAAGAUUCAAUUUAAAAGUUCCUGUGUGUUCCUGUCCUUGUCGCUGUGCACAGUAUUUGACCACAGUCAUCCCGUAUGAGGAGAAAGGACAUCCUCCUUCCAUCGAGGACCUCCAGAUCCUGACCAAGAUCCUGGAAGCAAUGAGGGAUGACAGUGACAAGGUGCCUGGUCUCUUGACAGACUACAUUCUCAAAG